GACAGAGGGUGCAAACGUUGUUCGGAAUUACUGGGCGUAAAGCGAGUGUAGGCGGUCUCCUAAGUCGGGUGUGAAAGCCCCGGGCUCAACCCGGGAAGUGCACUCGAAACUGGGAGGAUAGAGUAUCGGAGAGGUUGGUGGAAUUCUCGGUGUAGAGGUGAAAUUCGUAGAUAUCGAGAGGAACACCAGUGGCGAAGGCGGCUCUCUGGGCAAUGACUGACGCUGAGACGCGAAAGCGUGGGUAGCAAACAGG
rnacentral:rRNA from 1 species